rnacentral:rRNA from 1 species
CACGUAGGGGGCGAGCGUUGUCCGGAUUUAUUGGGCGUAAAGAGCUCGUAGGCGGCUCGGUAAGUGAGGUGUGAAAACUCCAGGCUCAACCUGGAGACGCCACCUCAUACUGCCGUGGCUAGAGUCCGGUAGGGGAGCAUGGAAUUCCUGGUGUAGCGGUGAAAUGCGCAGAUAUCAGGAGGAACACCAGUGGCGAAGGCGGUGCUCUGGGCCGGAACUGACGCUGAGGAGCGAAAGCGUGGGGAGCAAACAGGAUUAGAUACCCUGGUAGUCCACGCCGUAAACGUUGGGCACUAGGUGUGGGUCCUUAUCAACGGGAUCCGUGCCGUAGCUAACGCAUUAAGUGCCCCGCCUGGGGAGUACGGCCGCAAGGCUAAA